rnacentral:rRNA from 1 species
CGUGACGCAGCAACGCCGCGUGGGGGAAGAAGGCCUUCGGGUUGUAAACCCCUUUCAGUUGGGACGAAGCUUCGACGGUGAACAGCCGUCUGGAGUGACGGUACCUUCAGAAGAAGCCCCGGCUAACUACGUGCCAGCAGCCGCGGUAAUACGUAGGGGGCUAGCGUUGUCCGGAAUCAUUGGGCGUAAAGCGCGUGUAGGCGGCCCGGUAAGUCCGCUGUGAAAGUCGGGGGCUCAACCCUCGAAAGCCGGUGGAUACUGUCGGGCUAGAGUACGGAAGAGGCGAGUGGAAUUCCUGGUGUAGCGGUGAAAUGCGCAGAUAUCAGGAGGAACACCAAUUGCGAAGGCAGCUCGCUGGGACGUCACUGACGCUGAGACGCGAAAGCGUGGGGAGCAAACAGGAUUAGAUACCCUGGUAGUCCACGCUGUAAACGAUGGGCACUAGGUGUGGGGGGUGUCGACUCCCUCCGUGCCGAAGCUAACGCAUUAAGUGCCCCGCCUGGGGAGUACGGCCGCAAGGCUA